rnacentral:rRNA from 1 species
AUUGAACGCUGGCGGCAGGCCUAACACAUGCAAGUCGAGCGGAGCGGCGGACGGGUGAGUAAUGCCUGGGAAUCUGCCUGGUAGUGGGGGAUAACGUCCGGAAACGGGCGCUAAUACCGCAUACUAUCAGAUGAGCCUAGGUCGGAUUAGCUAGUUGGUGGGGUAAAGGCUUACCAAGGCGACGGUCCGUAUCUGGCUUGAGAGGAUGAGCAGUCAAAUUGGAACGGAGACACGGUCCAGCCUCCUACGGGAGUCAGCAGUGGGGAAUAUUGGAGAAUGGGCGAAAUCCUGCUCCAGUCAUGCCGCGUGUGUGAAGAAGGUCUUCGGAUUGUAAAGCACUUUAAGUUGGGAGGCGUUACCAACAGAAUAAGCACCGGCUAACUUCGUGCCAGCAGCCGCGGUAAUUC